AGUGAACGCUGGCGGUAGGCCUAACACAUGCAAGUCGAACGGCAGCACAGUAAGAGCUUGCUCUUACGGGUGGCGAGUGGCGGACGGGUGAGGAAUACAUCGGAAUCUACUUUUUCGUGGGUGAUAACGUAGGGAAACUUACGCUAAUACCUCAUACGACCUACGGGUGAAAGCAGUGGAUCUUCGGACCUUGCGCGAUUGAAUUAGCCGAUGUCGGAUUAGCUAGUUGGCGGGGUAAAGUCCCACCAAGGCGACGAUCCGUAGCUGGUCUGAGAGGAUGAUCAGCCACACUGGAACUGAGACACGGUCCAGACUCCUACGGGAGGCAGCAGUGGGGAAUAUUGGACAAUGGGCGCAAGCCUGAUCCAGCAAUACCGCGUGGGUGAAGAAGGCCUUCGGGUUGUAAAGCCCUUUUGUUGGGAAAGAAAAGAAGCAGGUUAAUACCCCGCUGUUCUGACGGUACCCAAAGAAUAAGCACCGGCUAACUUCGUG
rnacentral:rRNA from 1 species